AUGAACGCUAGCGACAGGCUUAACACAUGCAAGUCGAGGGGCAGCGGGGGUAGCAAUACCCGCCGGCGACCGGCGCACGGGUGAGUAACGCGUAUGCAACUUACCUAUCAGAGGGGGAUAACCCGGCGAAAGUCGGACUAAUACCGCAUGAAGCAGGGGCCCCGCAUGGGGAUAUUUGCUAAAGAUUCAUCGCUGAUAGAUAGGCAUGCGUUCCAUUAGGCAGUUGGCGGGGUAACGGCCCACCAAACCGACGAUGGAUAGGGGUUCUGAGAGGAAGGUCCCCCACAUUGGUACUGAGACACGGACCAAACUCCUACGGGAGGCAGCAGUGAGGAAUAUUGGUCAAUGGCCGAGAGGCUGAACCAGCCAAGUCGCGUGAGGGAUGAAGGUUCUAUGGAUCGUAAACCUCUUUUAUAAGGGAAUAAAGUGCGGGACGUGUCCCGUUUUGUAUGUACCUUAUGAAUAAGGAUCGGCUAACUCCGUGCCAGCAGCCGCGGUAAUACGGAGGAUCCGAGCGUUAUCCGGAUUUAUUGGGUUUAAAGGGUGCGUAGGCGGCCUUUUAAGUCAGCGGUGAAAGUCUGUGGCUCAACCAUAGAAUUGCCGUUGAAACUGGGGGGCUUGAGUAUGUUUGAGGCAGGCGGAAUGCGUGGUGUAGCGGUGAAAUGCAUAGAUAUCACGCAGAACCCCGAUUGCGAAGGCAGCCUGCCAAGCCAUUACUGACGCUGAUGCACGAAAGCGUGGGGAUCAAACAGGAUUAGAUACCCUGGUAGUCCACGCAGUAAACGAUGAUCACUAGCUGUUUGCGAUACACUGUAAGCGGCACAGCGAAAGCGUUAAGUGAUCCACCUGGGGAGUACGCCGGCAACGGUGAAACUCAAAGGAAUUGACGGGGGCCCGCACAAGCGGAGGAACAUGUGGUUUAAUUCGAUGAUACGCGAGGAACCUUACCCGGGUUUGAACGCAUUCGGACCGAGGUGGAAACACCUUUUCUAGCAAUAGCCGUUUGCGAGGUGCUGCAUGGUUGUCGUCAGCUCGUGCCGUGAGGUGUCGGCUUAAGUGCCAUAACGAGCGCAACCCUUGCCACUAGUUACUAACAGGUAAAGCUGAGGACUCUGGUGGGACUGCCAGCGUAAGCUGCGAGGAAGGCGGGGAUGACGUCAAAUCAGCACGGCCCUUACAUCCGGGGCGACACACGUGUUACAAUGGCGUGGACAAAGGGAAGCCACCUGGCGACAGGGAGCGAAUCCCCAAACCACGUCUCAGUUCGGAUCGGAGUCUGCAACCCGACUCCGUGAAGCUGGAUUCGCUAGUAAUCGCGCAUCAGCCAUGGCGCGGUGAAUACGUUCCCGGGCCUUGUACACACCGCCCGUCAAGCCAUGGGAGCCGGGGGUACCUGAAGUCCGUAACCGAAAGGAUCGGCCUAGGGUAAAACUGGUGACUGGGGCU
rnacentral:rRNA from 1 species